CACUGACACUGCAGUCAGGAGUUAAAGAAGAUCCUGGGAUCCGGUCCCAAAGCCUCCUCUGCAGACCUGGUGUUGGUAGAAGGAUGGGAUGAGCAUCCUCAGGAACCUACUUAGAUGCCGCGUUAACAUGUCUCUUGGUCUUGAAGAAGAGUGCUUUGCCAUGAACACGCUGAUUGAACUUCGUAUUUGAUCAUUGUAGUACAGCUGGAAGUCAGUGCUCAGCCUGAACACCACCUUCGAGGGACUGGUGUGAUCCCUACAGACAAGAGUCAUCUUUCCUGUGUUUCCAUGGGAUGUGCCCUGUGACUGGAAAGCAUGUAUGAUGAUAGCCUUUCACAGUAGUAACUGCUGUGGAUAUCACUCUAUAUAAAUAAAACACUGAUGGCCAAUGAUGAGGCAAGAAGUAUAGGUGGGACAAAGAGAGAGGAGAAUUGGGGAAACAGGAAGAAGGAGGGAGGGACA